CUUGCUGCUUUGCUGACGAGUGGCGGACGGGUGAGUAAUGUCUGGGAAACUGCCUGAUGGAGGGGGAUAACUACUGGAAACGGUGGCUAAUACCGCAUAACGUCGCAAGACCAAAGAGGGGGACCUUCGGGCCUCUUGCCAUCAGAUGUGCCCAGAUGGGAUUAGCUUGUUGGUGAGGUAACGGCUCACCAAGGCGACGAUCCCUAGCUGGUCUGAGAGGAUGACCAGCCACACUGGAACUGAGACACGGUCCAGACUCCUACGGGAGGCAGCAGUGGGGAAUAUUGCACAAUGGGCGCAAGCCUGAUGCAGCCAUGCCGCGUGUAUGAAGAAGGCCUUCGGGUUGUAAAGUACUUUCAGCGGGGAGGAAGGUGUUGUGGUUAAUAACCGCAGCAAUUGACGUUACCCGCAGAAGAAGCACCGGCUAACUCCGUGCCAGCAGCCGCGGUAAUACGGAGGGUGCAAGCGUUAAUCGGAAUUACUGGGCGUAAAGCGCACGCAGGCGGUCUGUCAAGUCGGAUGUGAAAUCCCCGGGCUCAACCUGGGAACUGCAUUCGAAACUGGCAGGCUUGAGUCUUGUAGAGGGGGGUAGAAUUCCAGGUGUAGCGGUGAAAUGCGUAGAGAUCUGGAGGAAUACCGGUGGCGAAGGCGGCCCCCUGGACAAAGACUGACGCUCAGGUGCGAAAGCGUGGGGAGCAAACAGGAUUAGAUACCCUGGUAGUCCACGCCGUAAACGAUGUCUACUUGGAGGUUGUGCCCUUGAGGCGUGGCUUCCGGAGCUAACGCGUUAAGUAGACCGCCUGGGGAGUACGGCCGCAAGGUUAAAACUCAAAUGAAUUGACGGGGGCCCGCACAAGCGGUGGAGCAUGUGGUUUAAUUCGAUGCAACGCGAAGAACCUUACCUGGUCUUGACAUCCACAGAAGAAUCCAGAGAUGGAUUUGUGCCUUCGGGAACUGUGAGACAGGUGCUGCAUGGCUGUCGUCAGCUCGUGUUGUGAAAUGUUGGGUUAAGUCCCGCAACGAGCGCAACCCUUAUCCUUUGUUGCCAGCGGUUAGGCCGGGAACUCAAAGGAGACUGCCAGUGAUAAACUGGAGGAAGGUGGGGAUGACGUCAAGUCAUCAUGGCCCUUACGACCAGGGCUACACACGUGCUACAAUGGCGCAUACAAAGAGAAGCGACCUCGCGAGAGCAAGCGGACCUCAUAAAGUGCGUCGUAGUCCGGAUUGGAGUCUGCAACUCGACUCCAUGAAGUCGGAAUCGCUAGUAAUCGUGGAUCAGAAUGCCACGGUGAAUACGUUCCCGGGCCUUGUACACACCGCCCGUCACACCAUGGGAGUGGGUUGCAAAAGAAGUAGGUAGCUUAACCUUCGGGAGGGCGCUUACCACUUUGUGAUUCAUGACUGGGGUGAAGUCGUAACAAGGUAACCGUAGGGGAACCUGCGGUUGGAUCACCUCCUUACCUUAAAGAA
rnacentral:rRNA from 2 species